GACGAACGCUGGCGGCGUGCCUAAUACAUGCAAGUAGAACGCACAGUUUAUACCGUAGCUUGCUACACCAUAGACUGUGAGUUGCGAACGGGUGAGUAACGCGUAGGUAACCUGCCUGGUAGCGGGGGAUAACUAUUGGAAACGAUAGCUAAUACCGCAUAAUAUUGAUUAUUGCAUGAUAAUUGAUUGAAAGAUGCUAUUGCAUCACUACCAGCUGGACCUGCGUUGUAUUAGCUAGUAGGUGAGGUAACGGCUCACCUAGGCGACGAUACAUAGCCGACCUGAGAGGGUGAACGGCCACACUGGGACUGAGACACGGCCCAGACUCCUACGGGAAGCAGCAGUAGGGAAUCUUCGGCAAUGGACGAAAGUCUGACCGAGCAACGCCGCGUGAGUGAAGAAGGUUUUCGGAUCGUAAAGCUCUGUUGUAAGAGAAGAACGGGUGUGAGAGUGGAAAGUUCACACUGUGACGGUAUCUUACCAGAAAGGGACGGCUAACUACGUG
rnacentral:rRNA from 1 species